AUUGAACGCUGGCGGCAGGCCUAACACAUGCAAGUCGGGCGAGCGGCGGACGGGUGAGUAAUGUAUGGGAAUCUAGCUUAUGGAGGGGGAUAACUACGGGAAACUGUAGCUACUACCGCGUACCAUAGGAUGAGCCCAAGUGGGAUUAGGUAGUAGGGGAGGGAAAGGCUCACCAAGCCGACGAUCCCUAGCUGGUCUUAGAGGAUGACCAGCCACACUGGGACUGAUACACGGCCCAGACGCCGACGGGAGGCAGCAGUGGGGAAGAUUUCACAAGGGGCGCAAGCCUGAUGCAGCCAUGCCGCGUGUAUGAAGAAGGCCUUAGGGUUGUAAAGUACUUUCAGCGGGGAGGCGUUACCCGCAGAAGAAGCACCGGCUAACUCCGUGCCAGCAGCCGCGGUAAUUC
rnacentral:rRNA from 1 species